UUGCAAGAAAGGUCCAAGUAACUACAAUAUAAUGGAAUUGGGGUCAUUCCAGUGGUUCUUAUCUCUUAAAGUAAAAAUCACCUCUUCUUUUGAGCAAAUGGAAGGGUUAAAGCUCCCUUCUUUUUUCUGCCAAAAGUGUCAUUAGAAGAACAAAAAUUGAUAAUCACAAAUAUCAAACCAUAUCAUAUACAUUAAUUGUGCAAUGUCGAGU
rnacentral:lncRNA from 1 species